CAGCCGCCGCGGGAAUACGUAGGGUGCAAGCGUUAAUCGGAAUUACUGGGCGUAAAGCGUGCGCAGGCGGUUUGUUAAGACAGAUGUGAAAUCCCCGGGCUCAACCUAGGAACUGCAUUUGUGACUGGCAAGCUAGAGUGUGGCAGAGGGGGGUGGAAUUCCGCGUGUAGCAGUGAAAUGCGUAGAUAUGCGGAGGAACACCGAUGGCGAAGGCAGCCCCCUGGGCCAACACUGACGCUCAUGCACGAAAGCGUGGGGAGCAAACAGGAUUAGAUACCCGAGUAGUCCCUGUCUCUUAUAC
rnacentral:rRNA from 1 species